UACGUAGGGCGCAAGCGUUGUCCGGAAUUAUUGGGCGUAAAGAGCUCGUAGGCGGCUUGUCACGUCGGGUGUGAAAGCCCGGGGCUUAACCCCGGGUCUGCAUUCGAUACGGGCAGGCUAGAGUGUGGUAGGGGAGAUCGGAAUUCCUGGUGUAGCGGUGAAAUGCGCAGAUAUCAGGAAGAACACCCGUGGCGAAAGCGGCUCUCUGGAACGGUACUGACGCUGAGACGCGAAAGCGUGGGGAGCGAACAGG
rnacentral:rRNA from 1 species